rnacentral:rRNA from 1 species
UUUUGGAUAAUGGGGGAAACCCUGACUCAGCCAUCCCGCGUGUAUGAUGAAGGCCUUCGGGUUGUAAAGUACUUUUGGCAGAGAAGACAAGGUAUCUCCUAAUACGAGAUACUGCUGACGGUACCUGCAGAAUAAGCACCGGCUAACUACGUGCCAGCAGCCGCGGUAAUACGUAGGGUGCAAGCGUUAAUCGGAAUUACUGGGCGUAAAGCGUGUGUAGGCGGUUCGGAAAGAAAGAUGUGAGAUCCCAGGGCUCAACCUUGGAACUGCAGUUUAAACUGCCGAGCUAGAGUAUGGCAGAGGGGGGUAAAAUUCCACGUGUAGCAGUGAAAUGCGUAGAUAUGUGGAGGAAAACCAAUGGCGAAGGCAGCCCCCUGGGAUAAUACUGACGCUCAGACACGAAAGCGUGGGGAGCAAACA